rnacentral:lncRNA from 1 species
UAUUUAUACACAUUCACUAAGUUACAUCACCACCCAUCUCUCCUUUACUUUCUCACACACAUUUACAAAUCCCCCAUAUAACUUUCAAUCAAACCAAUGGCGCUCAGCUGGAAAGAUUGGUGCCUUGAAGUUGGAUUGGAAGAAGACAACAAGUAGAGAAAUAUGCUAUGACCGGAAAAUUGAAGAAAGUUUGUUUAUACACUUAAAUGAAAGGGAGACUAGAAUAGUUGUCAGAUAAUCCGCCACAAAAUGUUCUUUAAUGUUGAAAUUAGGUGUAUGGUUUUUGUAUAGUUUGGAUUUUAUUGUGUUAUUUGAAUAAGUUGGUAUUUUAAUUUGAUUGUUUGUAUAUUAAGUAAAGUUGGUUUUUUAUAUUUAUUAAAGAUUUGAGUAUAAUGAUUGAGCGAAAAAUAAUGAAAAAAAUAAUAAAAAAGUUAAAGUUUCUUAAUAUUAGUUGUUAAAUCCUUAGC